rnacentral:rRNA from 1 species
GACGAACGCUGGCGGCGUGCUUGACACAUGCAAGUCGAACGGAAAGGCCUGCUUUCCCUUGUGUAUUGCGGGUACUCGAGUGGCCAACGGGUGAGUAACACGUGAGUGAUCUGCCCCCAACUUGGUUAUAAGCCUGGGAAACUUGGUCUAAUUCCCGUUAGGACUGCAGGGUGGUGCCUGUGGUGGAACACGAUUUUCUAGUGGUUGGGGAUGCGCUCGCGGCCUAUCUGCUUGUUGGUGGGGUAAUGGCCUACCAAGGCGGCGACUGGUAGCCGGCCUGAGAGGGUGGACGGCCACAUUGGGACUGAGAUACGGCCCAGACGCCUACGGGAGGCAGGAGUGGGGAAUAUUGGACAAUGGGCGGAAGCCUGAUGCAGCGAAGCCGCGUGGGGGAUGACGGCCUUCGGGUUGUAAACUCCUUUCGACCGCGAGGAAGCCACCUGGUUGGAAGGGUGGUGACGGUAGUGGUAGAAGAAGCACCGGCUAACUACGUG